rnacentral:rRNA from 1 species
UAGGGAAUCUUCCGCAAUGGACGAAAGUCUGACGGAGCAACGCCGCGUGAGCGAAGAAGGUCUUAGGAUCGUAAAGCUCUGUUGUCAGGGAAGAACAAGUGCCGUUCGAACAGGGCGGUACCUUGACGGUACCUGACGAGGAAGCCACGGCUAACUACGUGCCAGCAGCCGCGGUAAUACGUAGGUGGCAAGCGUUGUCCGGAAUUAUUGGGCGUAAAGCGCGCGCAGGCGGUUCCUUAAGUCUGAUGUGAAAUCUCGCGGCUCAACCGCAGGCGGCCAUUGGAAACUGGGGAACUUGAGUGCAGGAGAGGGGAGCGGAAUUCCACGUGUAGCGGUGAAAUGCGUAGAGAUGUGGAGGAACACCAGUGGCGAAGGCGGCUCUCUGGCCUGUAACUGACGCUGAGGCGCGAAAGCGUGGGGAGCGAACAGG